rnacentral:rRNA from 1 species
UGGGGAAUUGUUCGCAAUGGGCGCAAGCCUGACGACGCAACGCCGCGUGGGGGAUGAAGGUCUUCGGAUUGUAAACCCCUGUUGGGUGGGACGAAUGGCUUUCCGGCGAAUACCCGGGAAGAUUGACGGUACCACCUGAGGAAGCCCCGGCUAACUCUGUGCCAGCAGCCGCGGUAAUACAGAGGGGGCAAGCGUUGUUCGGAAUUACUGGGCGUAAAGGGCGCGUAGGCGGCCUGUUAAGUCAGACGUGAAAUCCCUCGGCUCAACCGGGGAACUGCGUCUGAUACUGGCGGGCUUGAAUUCGGGAGAGGGAUGUGGAAUUCCAGGUGUAGCGGUGAAAUGCGUAGAUAUCUGGAGGAACACCGGUGGCGAAGGCGGCAUCCUGGACCGACAUUGACGCUGAGGCGCGAAAGCCAGGGGAGCAAACGGG